rnacentral:pre_miRNA from 1 species
AGAACCGGCAUCGUGUAUCUUGUCUUAUUCUCGCACAAGUACACGGUUCCGACUCUAU